rnacentral:rRNA from 1 species
GACGAACGCUGGCGGCGUGCUUAACACAUGCAAGUCGAACGGAAAGGCCCUGCUUUUGUGGGGUGCUCGAGUGGCGAACGGGUGAGUAACACGUGAGUAACCUGCCCUUGACUUUGGGAUAACUUCAGGAAACUGGGGCUAAUACCGGAUAGGAGCUCCUGCUGCAUGGUGGGGGUUGGAAAGUUUCGGCGGUUCGGGAUGGACUCGCGGCUUAUCAGCUUGUUGGUGGGGUAGUGGCUUACCAAGGCUUUGACGGGUAGCCGGCCUGAGAGGGUGACCGGCCACAUUGGGACUGAGAUACGGCCCAGACUCCUACGGGAGGCAGAAGUGGGGAAUAUUGCACAAUGGGCGGAAGCCUGAUGCAGCAACGCCGCGUGCGGGAUGACGGCCUUCGGGUUGUAAACCGCUUUCGCCUGUGACGAAGCGUGAGUGACGGUAAUGGGUAAAGAAGCACCGGCUAACUACGUG